rnacentral:rRNA from 1 species
AUUGAACGCUGGCGGCAUGCCUUACACAUGCAAGUCGAACGUGAAAGCGGGGCAACCCGCAAGUAGAGUGGCGGACGGGUGAGUAAUACAUCGGAACGUGUCCAGUAAUGGGGGAUAACCUAGCGAAAGUUAGGCUAAUACCGCAUACGAUCUGCGGAUGAAAGCGGGGGAUGCGGCACUAAAGGCUUUUGGCGAAGGUGGCCAAAGGUGAGUCAAGAGCUUUUAGUGCUGCACCUCGCGUUAUUGGAGCGGCUGAUGUCUGAUUAGCUAGUUGGUGAGGUAAAGGCUUACCAAGGCGACGAUCAGUAGCUGGUCUGAGAGGACGGCCAGCCACACUGGGACUGAGACACGGCCCAGACU